CACGGGGGGAGCAAGCGUUGUUCGGAAUCACUGGGCGUAAAGGGCUCGUAGGCGGCCAACUAAGUCAUACGUGAAAUCCCUCAGCUUAACUGGGGAACUGCGUGUGAUACUGGAUGGCUUGGAUUUGGGAGAGGGAUGCGGAAUUCCAGGUGUAGCGGUGAAAUGCGUAGAUAUCUGGAGGAACACCGGUGGCGAAGGCGGUUCUCUGGGACGGUACUGACGCUGAGACGCGAAAGCGUGGGGAGCGAACAGG
rnacentral:rRNA from 1 species